rnacentral:rRNA from 1 species
CCUACGGGUGGCUGCAGUGAGGAAUAUUGGUCAAUGGGCGGAAGCCUGAACCAGCCAAGUCGCGUGAGGGAAUAAGGCCCUACGGGUCGUAAACCUCUUUUGCCGGGGAGCAAGGGCCGGGACGCGUCCCGGCCCGGAGAGUAUCCGGAGAAAAAGCAUCGGCUAACUCCGGGCCAGCACCCACGGUAAGAGGGAGGAUGCUAGGGUUAUCCGGAUUUAUUGGGUUUAAAGGGUGCGUAGGCGGGCGUUAAAGUCAGCGGUAAAAAUUCGGGGUUCAACCCCGUCUGGCCGUUGAAACUGGGGGCCUUGAGUGGGCGAGAGGAAGGCGGAAUGCGUGGUGUAGCGGUGAAAUGCAUAGAUAUCACGCAGAACCCCGAUUGCGAAGGCAGCCUUCCGGCGCCCUACUGACGCUGAGGCACGAAAGUGCGGGGAUCGAACAGGAUUAGAUACCCCAGUAGUC